rnacentral:rRNA from 1 species
UACGUAGGGUGCAGGCGUUAAUCGGAAUUACUGGGCGUAAAGCGUGCGCAGGCGGUUUCUUAAGUCAGAUGUGAAAGCCCCGGGCUUAACCUGGGAACUGCGUUUGAAACUGGGAGACUUGAGUGUGGCAGAGGGGGGUGGAAUUCCACGUGUAGCAGUGAAAUGCGUAGAUAUGUGGAGGAACACCGAUGGCGAAGGCAGCCCCCUGGGUUAACACUGACGCUCAUGCACGAAAGCGUGAGGAGCAAACAGG